rnacentral:rRNA from 1 species
UACAGAGGGUGCAAGCGUUGUUCGGAAUUAUUGGGCGUAAAGGGCGCGUAGGCGGUGCCACAAGUCACCUGUGAAAUCUCCAGGCUUAACUCGGAGCCUGCAGGCGAAACUGUGGUGCUGGAGUGUGGGAGAGGUGCGUGGAAUUCCCGGUGUAGCGGUGAAAUGCGUAGAUAUCAGGAGGAACACCUAUUGCGAAGGCAGCUCGCUGGGACGUUACUGACGCUGAGACGCGAAAGCGUGGGGAGCAAACAGG